CAGACACUUGAAAUACUAUUGCCUAAUAUGGCGGUUUUUAAGCUUGGCUUCAUUCUCACUGUUCUUCUCAUGACAACCACAAUGAACGUGCAAUGGUUCUCAAAAACGAAUGUGCUGGCUUGGAAUGUUGAUCAUGAUCUCUCAAGAGUUGAAAGGAGUCUGCUCCCUCAACUUAAUGAUUUUGUAACUUGUCUGAAACCUUGUCAAACAAACGAUGACUGCAGUGAUUGUUGGGUUUGCUGUAAGUGUGAUACGACCCAUCAUUGCGGCGCAUUUACUGGGUAAAGUCUCUGCAAAUUGCACAUUAUUGUUCAAAUGCGACGAACUCUACUUCUAUUUCCAAUUACGAAUUUGUCUU